rnacentral:rRNA from 1 species
AGCGCUGCGGAGGCUACACACGCAGUCUAGCGCGCUUCGGGUGAGCGGCGGACGGGUUAGUAACGCGUGGGAACGUGCCCUUCUCUACGGAAUAGCCUCUGGAAACGGAGAGUAAUACCGUAUACGCCCUUUGGGGGAAAGAUUUAUCGGAGAAGGAUCGGCCCGCGUUAGAUUAGGUAGUUGGUGGGGUAACGGCCUACCAAGCCUACGAUCUAUAGCUGGCUUUUAGAGGAUGAUCAGCAACACUGGGACUGAGCACACGGCCCACACUCCUACGGGAGGCAGCAGCUGCGGGAAUCUUAGACAACUGGGGGCAACCCUGAUCUAGCCAUGCCGCGCUGAGUGAUGAAGGCCUUAGGGUCGUAAAGCUCUUUCGCCUGCUGAUGAUAAUGACAGUAGCAGGCUAAAGAAACCCCGCGCUAACUCCGUGCCAGCAGCCGCGGCUAACUACCGGAGCGGGGCUUAGCCGUCUGUUCGCGAACUUACCUGGCGCGCUAAACGCCGCGCCGCU